UACGUAGGGGGCUAGCGUUGUCCGGAAUCAUUGGGCGUAAAGCGCGUGUAGGCGGUCCGGUAAGUCCGCUGUGAAAGUCGGGGGCUCAACCCUCGGAUGCCGGUGGAUACUGUCGGGCUUGAGUACGGAAGAGGCGAGUGGAAUUCCUGGUGUAGCGGUGAAAUUCGUAGAUAUCGGGAGGAACACCGGUGGCGAAGGCGGCGAUCUGGGUCGAUACUGACGCUGAGGUGCGAAAGCGUGGGGAGCAAACAGG
rnacentral:rRNA from 1 species